rfam:Taeniopygia guttata chromosome 1, whole genome shotgun sequence.
ACCACAUUAGCUCAACUGGUCAGAGCAUGGUGCUAACAACACCAAGGGCACAGGUUAGAUCCCUAUAUGGGCUA